AUUAAUUCGAUGCAACGCGUAGAACCUUACCUGGGUUUGACAUGGAUCGGGAGCGCUCAGAGAUGGGUGUGCCUCUUUUGGGGUCGGUUCACAGGUGGUGCAUGGCUGUCGUCAGCUCGUGUCGUGAGAUGUUGGGUUAAGUCCCGCAACGAGCGCAACCAUUGUUCACUGUUGCCAGCACGUUAUGGUGGGGACUCAGUGGAGACCGCCGGGGUCAACUCGGAGGAAGGUGGGGAUGACGUCAAGUCAUCAUGCCCCUUAUGUCCAGGGCUUCACGCAUGCUACAAUGGCUGGUACAGAGAGUGGCGAGCCUGUGAGGGUGAGCGAAUCUCGGAAAGCCGGUCUCAGUUCGGAUUGGGGUCUGCAACUCGACCUCAUGAAGUCGGAGUCGCUAGUAAUCGCAGAUCAGCAACGCUG
rnacentral:rRNA from 1 species